rnacentral:rRNA from 1 species
GACGAACGCUGGCGGCGUGCCUAAUACAUGCAAGUCGAACACUGAAGGAGGAGCUUGCUUCUCCGGAUGAGUUGCGAACGGGUGAGUAACGCGUAGGUAACCUGCCUGGUAGCGGGGGAUAACUAUUGGAAACGAUAGCUAAUACCGCAUAAGAGUAGAUGUCGCAUGACAUUUGCUUAAAAGGUGCAACUGCACCACUACCAGAUGGACCUGCGUUGUAUUAGCUAGUUGGUGAGGUAACGGCUCACCAAGGCAACGAUACAUAGCCGACCUGAGAGGGUGAUAGGCCACACUGGGACUGAGACACGGCCCAGACUCCUACGGGAGGCAGCAGUAGGGAAUCUUCGGCAAUGGACGGAAGUCUGACCGAGCAACGCCGCGUGAGUGAAGAAGGUUUUCGGAUCGUAAAGCUCUGUUGUAAGAGAAGAACGAGUGUGAGAGUGGAAAGUUCACACUGUGACGGUAUCUUACCAGAAAGGGACGGCUAACUACGUG